rnacentral:lncRNA from 1 species
AAGAAUGAGAAAACCAGGUCAAGCAGAUUGUACAGAACGAAUGAAGACUCCCCUGAGAAUGACAGAGGUAGAAGCACCUUUCCGCGUAUGUAAAAAACGACAGCAUCCAGUCUAGGGAGGAGCGCCGGAGCCCACCCAGCCAAUGAUACUGCCUUGCACACGGUGGUGUAGCUGUUUAGGGGUACCUCCGGGCUAGAGGGUAUUGCGGGGCUCUGCCAGGCAUUUUACUAAGAUCGAGUUUUUGUAAGAUGCGGGACUCUUACAAAGUGGAGGAAGGAGUAGCUAGAGCGUGUCCUCCCUCAGCAUGCUGCUGCUAGAGAGGGGUGCAGCUCUCACAGACAAGCCAGACUCCCCCCAGAAGUUCAAGAAAUCUACACCUUCAAGGAUUGCUCUCGAUUUGUGGAAGCCUGGAACCGAGAACCGAGCUGAAACUAUUUCCCCUAGGCCCAGUUUCUCUGGCCACUCAUCAUCCCGCCUCUGAGACUCCUAACCCGAGUACUGAGGUGUUUAUCCUCACUCCCUCAAUAUUGCUCCACAUUCGGCUGGGGAAAGAAGGGAAAUGAAUAUGCGCAGAGUGGUUUGGCGCCUGGGAUGGCUAAGACCCUCCGCUAUGUAUUUCCAUAAGGGUAUUGAGAACAGUUAAGCUGGGGGCGCGUGUAACUUUGAGGGAAGAGCUUGGCAAUCACUCUAUCAAUGCUCUAAAUGACCCCUAAACCUACGGUUCUCUUUCCCUUCUGUGGGAGCAGGCUACCACUGAGCAAUUUUGAACGGACUUUUUUUAGGGUUCUCACGUCGGAGGUAGUAAAUUAAAAUUGAGUACUAGGUUUCCUAGGAGUUUUUCCUUUCAGGCGGUGAUGGCAGCGGCUAAAGGCGAGGAGGUCUUAAAUACCGCAAGCGACACCGGAGAGGACUGGGUUCGUAAUCAGCAGGCACUAUGCCCGCUCUUCUUGUGGUCCCAGGUCAUUAGGUCCCGGGGUUUUGUUCAGUUUAGGAGUCACAGGCACUAAGCACGAUGGUCCAGGUAUGGCACAAGAGUGACCUUGGCUGGAACCUUCCUCCCAGUCACCUGAGCUACCUAGCCCACCAACCCUGCGAGUGGGAAAGCAGACCGCUAGUAUCCUCGAGCCUUGGCGGCGCAUUCGAUCGCCACUUUCCCCACCCAAGUGACUUGGGCCGCCAGGGACCAGGAUCGCAAAACGAACAAACCAGGAUCGCAAAACGAACAAACGGAGAGCUAAGUGGUUUCUCUGCUGUCUUCAAGUAGUGGAAUCUUCUCCAUCCUUCUCUGGGGCUUCAGGACAAGCAUGCUAUGUUUGGAGAAUUUGAAGAUCACUACAGACUUUUCUUUGGACUCUCUAAUCAAAGAUAAGAAUGAAAAAAAAAUCUGUCAAGACUAGAAAGAUGGCUCAUUUUUUAAGAGCAUUGACCUGGGUUCAAUUCCCAGAACCCAAAUGAUGGCUCACAACCAUCUGUAACUUCAGUUCCAGGGGAUUCAGUGCCCUCUUCUGGGCUCUGAGGACACAAGGCAUGAAAGUGUAUGUAGACACAAAAUGCAGAUAAAGCACUCAUACACAUAGAAUAAAAAUAAACAAAUCUUUUAAAAGGUCAUUCUGUCCACUGGCAUUGCAAAGUUGGUAGAAUGCACAUCUUCAGGAUGAUCAAUGACAUAUUUCGAAUCCUUAAAAAUCAACUAUGUGGCUAGUAUGUCAUAUAUACAUAUAUGUAUAUAUACACACAUACAUAAUAUACAUAUAUAUGUACACACACACACACACAUAUAUAUAUAUAUAUAUAUAUAUAUAUAUAUAUAUAUAUAUGUCAGUAUUGCAGUGCUAGGGAUCAAACCCAUGACUGUGUGCAUAUAAGUCAAGUGCUCCACCAAUGGAGCUACAUCCUCAACCCCUAUUAGAUUAAUCAGUUUUGACACUUAGAACAGAAAGAGUACUGACUGACAUGGGCUACACACAAAGUAACCCAUGGCUGAUGGCUGUAUACAUGAGGAUACUGGUACUGCUAUCUUGAACCUUCUUUCUGCUUGGAUCAGUUGUUCAGUGAUCAAGCAUUCCUUUGAAGCUCUAUAUGUUAAAAGGAAAAAGGUGCAACAUUUCCAAUCCCUAACCAUAAUGUCCAUUUUGCUAAAAAGAGAUGUAAACUAUGAGCAGACUCUAACUGCAGCUGACAUAUCCUUCCUUUUGCAGCUCUGCCCAUAGGACAAUCUGCUGGCUAUUGUUUCACCAUUGGUGGGCAUAUACAUAUACAUAUGUAUACAUGUAAUGAAACUUUUAAUUUUUUAAAUAUUUAAUUCAUAGGAAGUUUCAAAGAUAGUAAAGGUGGAUCCCCAUGAACAAGCAAGCUCCUGCAACUAUUAUAUCUAAAAAAUUUUAUUUUAUAUUUAUUUAUUUGUGUGUGUGUGUGUGUGUGUGUGUGUGUGUGUGUGUGUGUGUGUGUGUCUGUGUGUGUGUGUCUGUGUUCAGUUGCCUGAGGAGGCCAAAAGAGGACUGUGGAUUUCCUGGAGUUGGAGUUACAAUUGGUUGUGAGCCCCUCAAAGUGGGUGCCAAACUUGGGUCCUCUGCAAAAGCAGCAAGCACUUAGCUGUUGAUACAUCUCUCCAGCCUCAGUGAGUACCUCUUAUGUAGUUUUUGCGCUCUCUUAAAACAGGGAUAUUACAUUAGUACAGGUGUGCCAAAUCCUCUAUCAUUUUAUCACAAAUAGACAUGUGCAGUGUCUUACAAAUAGACACACAUGACCACUAUGGCUGCUGGAACACAGAACACCACCACACCAGGAAGCUCACACCACACGCACCCCAUUGCACCCAGCUCCCUAACUCCUAGCAACCACUAGUUUUCUCCUCCUCUAUAAUUUGGUUAUUGCGAGA